ACUGACGAUGGGGACUACAACAUCAAAUUGCGCAACAUCAAGCGCUUUUUGGAAGAGGGCGACAAGUGCAAGAUCACCUUGCGCUUUCGCGGCCGCGAGAUCACGCACCAGGAACUGGGUUUGGCCCUGCUGGCGCGGAUUCGCGACGAAUUGGCGGAUUUGAUCGUGGUGGAGCAGUUUCCCAAGCUUGAAGGCAGGCAGAUGGUCAUGAUGAUCGCGCCGGGCCGCAAGAAGCCCGGCGGCAAGCCGGCCGCGGAAACUGCGGCAGCACCGGCGCCCUCGGCCGCGGCCUGAGGGUAGCCAGAAGAGAUACGGGUUUGCCGGAUUG
rnacentral:misc_RNA from 1 species